rnacentral:rRNA from 1 species
UACGGAGGAUGCAAGCGUUAUCCGGAAUGAUUGGGCGUAAAGCGUCCGCAGGUGGCAAUGUAAGUCUGCUGUCAAAGCGUCUGGCUCAACCAGAUACAGGCAGUGGAAACUACAUAGCUAGAGUAAGGUAGGGGUAGAGGGAAUUCCUGGUGUAGCGGUGAAAUGCGUAGAGAUCAGGAAGAACACCGGUGGCGAAAGCGCUCUGCUAGGCCGCAACUGACACUCAUGGACGAAAGCUAGGGGAGCGAAUGGG